CGGACUGUAGCGCAGUUUGGUAGCGCAUCCGACUGGGGGUCGGAAGGACGAGAGUUCAAAUCUCUCCAGUCCGA
rnacentral:tRNA from 2 species